rnacentral:lncRNA from 1 species
AUCCAUCCAUCCACUGAUCCAUCUCUUCAUCAUUCAUAUUCUGCGUGCUUAUUAUUUCCCAAGUACUAGGUUAGGUACAGGAUAAAUGGAAAUCGAUAAUGUCGUCCUUAAGAAGUGUUGUGCAAAAAAAAAAAAAUAAUAAUUGUGGAAGAAACCUGUAAUUUGUCAGGUUAAGGAAUUAAAAAGGAGUUAUGCAAUAGAUAGGGUGAGGUUGAGGGUUGGAUUACAAAUGGAAUAAAGGUUGCCCACAUCUGAGUGUUGCCUGGAAGAUUAAAUGAGAAAUAUGCAAGACGAAGUGCACACGGCAUCUCUUCCUUCAUCCAGGCCCCGAGUGAGGUCCAGGGAUGCAAUGUCACGGCAUAGCCCCUGCCUCAGGAGACUUUAUACCAAUGUGGAUUGUUUCUGCAUUCUCCUUUACACGUGUGUCUAAAUCAUUCUGAGGAUAAUUUUGUGGUCAACUUCAUUUCUACCUGAAUGACAAAUUCCCUAUAUUCAAUUCCCAUGAUGCAAAAAUAGCAUUUAGUUUUAUUGGGCCUAAGAUGAUCUCUCUGCAAUAUUAAAAGGUGUCCCCUAGAGUAAUUUUUAAGUAUCUGAGGUUUUGUUAAGAUCAUUCUUUUCAUAAUUCAUAUCUUCUUUAACCUUUGUUAUUCCAGAUUUAAGAGAUGUUUUCAAGUCGUGUUCUCAGAAGCUUCUGAUCCUUAUCCUUCUGAUCAUUUGAGUUAUACCUGUCUGACUCUACUAUGUCUCCCUGCUGCUUUGAUAAAAGACAAUUUCACAUACUGUGGAGGUCAUCAGUCAAUCUAAUGUUUAUUAAUCAUCCCCUCAUUUCACAUGGCUUUCUCUGGACCCCUUGGGAGGAGACAAGGUAAUAAAUCCUAUCCUCCAUCCCAGGUUCAUGAUCAUUUGGAUAGACAAGGUAUAUAUAGAGAAAAUAUUUAAUAAUUAGAGUCCUGAAGGAGGGACUUUGCAGUGAACUUCAACAUCUCAAGCCUCCUUCUUCUCCCACUUCCAAACCACCCUGAAUCACGCGGGAGAAGUGAAAAUAUCUUUUAAAGACAUCAAGAGAAAAAUAUUUCACAAGCCUGUUCGAUAACUUUCUGAAAACACUCAUUGUUCAGGGUGCUGCUUAAAUGAUCUUUCUGCUUCUGCCGGUGGCAAGGCCCCUCCAGCUCUGAAAGCAUGCAGAGGACAGCCCAUUGUUCCCUUAACGCCUGAGCAUCAAUCACCUGGUCACCCAACACUCAGCCAGCUCUGCGCAGAAUGUUUCUAAGUGAUUUUGACUGCAAGACUUUUCGCCAUUGGGUCCACGUGGGAACCUCUCCCUCUGGCUCUCCUUACACCUCCACAUGGGUGGACACAUGGCCCCGGCCUCUGGAGGGAUGGAGAGGGAGGGUGCUUCUGGAGAGAGGAGAUCUGAUGGGGCUGGGGUCUCUCCAACCCUGCACGUGGCACCCUGUGAACUCACAGCCUUUCAUACCAGCUCCUUCCCUGGUCCUUAGCCCUUUCGUCAGUGCGGUUUAGGGCAAUGGUCACCUGAACGUUUGUUUUGACAGUCACAAAUUCCCAGAAACAGGGAAACGGAACUCGCUAGCGACGUUGUGUGGAUGAGUUUGCUUUAGGCUGGAACAAGCCUUGCCUUUGGGUAACGGGCUUCCGGGUGCGCCCUGGCCGGCUGUGUGCGCGCGGAAGGCGGUCACCUGGGCCCCCUGGGCGCGCGCGCCGCCCGCCCGCCCGCCUGCCCCGCGCGCACCUGCAGGAGGCUCUGGCGCGCUCCCUCCCUCCCUGGCUGCGCUGCGAAGGGCGCGGGAGAGGGGGAUUCUAGCAGCGCUGAAUCACUUUCCCACAGCCUCUGCGUGGGGAGCGCUUCCUCUGAUGCACGCCCUAUUUGUACUUCCUGAGUGCGCGUGGACUGCGGGCCCUGCUCGCCGCAGACUUGCCCGAAAUAGCAGCGCGCGGGCUCGGCUCCCCGCGCCGCCCGCAGCAUCUGCCUCCCCCUCCCGCCUCGUGGGCAACCGGGCGCGGCUGAGUCACGGUGACACUGAGUCACUCGCCAGCGUCAGGAAAUGCCUUUUUUAGACUUCCAGUUUGAAAUGGAGCAGCAGGAAGAAGAAACAGAGCGCUCCCGGGAAAUGUUGAAAAAGCAGAGCCCCAUUCAUCACAGCACAGGUUGAAGAGACCAGCUCUCCCCGAUAUUGGCAGAAUUUCCAUCACAGGAAUAAGCUUUUGAAAAGCAAACUGACAGAUGAGAGCAGUGAAAUCCACUGAGUGGGCCGUGGAGAACAGCUGUGUUUGAGAGGCAUCUCAGCGAUGUGAAUGAGGCCAGGAGGAGCCAUGAAGACGGCACUGCCUGUGGGGCCCCCGAUAAAUGAUGGCACUGAGCAAUUGGCAGGACUGUGGGCAUGGGAGGGGUCCCUAGGCCCCACCCCCCUCUGCUCCUGUUUGUGUAAUUAACAGCCCGCUUCCUAUCAGGUGCUCUGCCUUCAGUGCUCUCUGCUGCGGCUCUUACCAGCGAGGACUGGAGGGGCGGCUCCUUUACCUGCCCUGUCCUGGUUUUUGCUCCCGCCUGCCCCGUGAGCCAGGGGAUGCACUCACAGCUGCUCUUUUUGAUGUAUAAAGUGUGUUUGAACAUUAUGCCAAAUAUCAAAAUGUGAAGGACUAAUCCAGGAUGCAAAAACGUUAUGGGGGGUUGUAAAUACGAACUAUACAACAGUUUAGGAUGCAAUUAUGAGUGUAAACUGUGUGCCUUAUUUAUACUUCAUUGUCUCCAGCUUCUCAGAUAAAGUUUUGAUGUGUUGUACAGUGGAAUAUCUUAGAUACUUUUUGGAAAGUUUUUACAUAAGUUAUAUCACAAUUAAAAUGUUGAAUUUCAAAAAAAAAAAGAGGCAUUCGUUUGAGAUUGCCUGGGGUCCUGUGGUUUGCUGAAUAAGACUCAGUGUGGGGAACUGUAGACUCUUCCUGAGAAGCUCAAUUCCAAAAGGAAAAGGAAAAUGCCGACUGGGAUUCCCUGACAGGCAUUGGUUAGCUGCUGUCUCUGUCCACUGAUAACUGGAGCUUUCAGAAAGGCAUCCUCUGCAGCCCAGCAUCAGCUUCUCCGCCUGCUGUUCCCUCCGGGAGGCGGCCCGCACCUCAGAAGCAGACACCGUUGUGCCUGGGUCCGGUGGCGUCUGGCCAACAGGGGCUGGAUGGGGGGCAACAGCAGCAGGAGGAGGACAGAGGAGGUGUUUACUCAGGGUCUCCUGUUAGGGUGCUGUGGGGUGUUGGGUUUCUCUGCUGGAAGCUGCAGCUCUGGUCACCACCUUCUCAAACUAUAGGGCUGCCCACCGGGCAUGGUGGCUCACGCCUGCAAUCCCAGCACUUUGGGAGGCCG